rnacentral:rRNA from 2 species
AGCGUACACGGUGGAUGCCCUGGCAGUCAGAGGCGAUGAAGGACGUGCUAAUCUGCGAUAAGCGUCGGUAAGGUGAUAUGAACCGUUAUAACCGGCGAUUUCCGAAUGGGGAAACCCAGUGUGUUUCGACACACUAUCAUUAACUGAAUCCAUAGGUUAAUGAGGCGAACCGGGGGAACUGAAACAUCUAAGUACCCCGAGGAAAAGAAAUCAACCGAGAUUCCCCCAGUAGCGGCGAGCGAACGGGGAGCAGCCCAGAGCCUGAAUCAGUGUGUGUGUUAGUGGAAGCGUCUGGAAAGGCGCGCGAUACAGGGUGACAGCCCCGUACACAAAAAUGCACAUGCUGUGAGCUCGAUGAGUAGGGCGGGACACGUGGUAUCCUGUCUGAAUAUGGGGGGACCAUCCUCCAAGGCUAAAUACUCCUGACUGACCGAUAGUGAACCAGUACCGUGAGGGAAAGGCGAAAAGAACCCCGGCGAGGGGAGUGAAAAAGAACCUGAAACCGUGUACGUACAAGCAGUGGGAGCACGCUUAGGCGUGUGACUGCGUACCUUUUGUAUAAUGGGUCAGCGACUUAUAUUCUGUAGCAAGGUUAACCGAAUAGGGGAGCCGAAGGGAAACCGAGUCUUAACUGGGCGUUAAGUUGCAGGGUAUAGACCCGAAACCCGGUGAUCUAGCCAUGGGCAGGUUGAAGGUUGGGUAACACUAACUGGAGGACCGAACCGACUAAUGUUGAAAAAUUAGCGGAUGACUUGUGGCUGGGGGUGAAAGGCCAAUCAAACCGGGAGAUAGCUGGUUCUCCCCGAAAGCUAUUUAGGUAGCGCCUCGUGAAUUCAUCUCCGGGGGUAGAGCACUGUUUCGGCAAGGGGGUCAUCCCGACUUACCAACCCGAUGCAAACUGCGAAUACCGGAGAAUGUUAUCACGGGAGACACACGGCGGGUGCUAACGUCCGUCGUGAAGAGGGAAACAACCCAGACCGCCAGCUAAGGUCCCAAAGUCAUGGUUAAGUGGGAAACGAUGUGGGAAGGCCCAGACAGCCAGGAUGUUGGCUUAGAAGCAGCCAUCAUUUAAAGAAAGCGUAAUAGCUCACUGGUCGAGUCGGCCUGCGCGGAAGAUGUAACGGGGCUAAACCAUGCACCGAAGCUGCGGCAGCGACGCUUAUGCGUUGUUGGGUAGGGGAGCGUUCUGUAAGCCUGUGAAGGUGUGCUGUGAGGCAUGCUGGAGGUAUCAGAAGUGCGAAUGCUGACAUAAGUAACGAUAAAGCGGGUGAAAAGCCCGCUCGCCGGAAGACCAAGGGUUCCUGUCCAACGUUAAUCGGGGCAGGGUGAGUCGACCCCUAAGGCGAGGCCGAAAGGCGUAGUCGAUGGGAAACAGGUUAAUAUUCCUGUACUUGGUGUUACUGCGAAGGGGGGACGGAGAAGGCUAUGUUGGCCGGGCGACGGUUGUCCCGGUUUAAGCGUGUAGGCUGGUUUUCCAGGCAAAUCCGGAAAAUCAAGGCUGAGGCGUGAUGACGAGGCACUACGGUGCUGAAGCAACAAAUGCCCUGCUUCCAGGAAAAGCCUCUAAGCAUCAGGUAACAUCAAAUCGUACCCCAAACCGACACAGGUGGUCAGGUAGAGAAUACCAAGGCGCUUGAGAGAACUCGGGUGAAGGAACUAGGCAAAAUGGUGCCGUAACUUCGGGAGAAGGCACGCUGAUAUGUAGGUGAAGUCCCUCGCGGAUGGAGCUGAAAUCAGUCGAAGAUACCAGCUGGCUGCAACUGUUUAUUAAAAACACAGCACUGUGCAAACACGAAAGUGGACGUAUACGGUGUGACGCCUGCCCGGUGCCGGAAGGUUAAUUGAUGGGGUCAGCGCAAGCGAAGCUCUUGAUCGAAGCCCCGGUAAACGGCGGCCGUAACUAUAACGGUCCUAAGGUAGCGAAAUUCCUUGUCGGGUAAGUUCCGACCUGCACGAAUGGCGUAAUGAUGGCCAGGCUGUCUCCACCCGAGACUCAGUGAAAUUGAACUCGCUGUGAAGAUGCAGUGUACCCGCGGCAAGACGGAAAGACCCCGUGAACCUUUACUAUAGCUUGACACUGAACAUUGAGCCUUGAUGUGUAGGAUAGGUGGGAGGCUUUGAAGUGUGGACGCCAGUCUGCAUGGAGCCGACCUUGAAAUACCACCCUUUAAUGUUUGAUGUUCUAACGUUGACCCGUAAUCCGGGUUGCGGACAGUGUCUGGUGGGUAGUUUGACUGGGGCGGUCUCCUCCUAAAGAGUAACGGAGGAGCACGAAGGUUGGCUAAUCCUGGUCGGACAUCAGGAGGUUAGUGCAAUGGCAUAAGCCAGCUUGACUGCGAGCGUGACGGCGCGAGCAGGUGCGAAAGCAGGUCAUAGUGAUCCGGUGGUUCUGAAUGGAAGGGCCAUCGCUCAACGGAUAAAAGGUACUCCGGGGAUAACAGGCUGAUACCGCCCAAGAGUUCAUAUCGACGGCGGUGUUUGGCACCUCGAUGUCGGCUCAUCACAUCCUGGGGCUGAAGUAGGUCCCAAGGGUAUGGCUGUUCGCCAUUUAAAGUGGUACGCGAGCUGGGUUUAGAACGUCGUGAGACAGUUCGGUCCCUAUCUGCCGUGGGCGCUGGAGAACUGAGGGGGGCUGCUCCUAGUACGAGAGGACCGGAGUGGACGCAUCACUGGUGUUCGGGUUGUCAUGCCAAUGGCACUGCCCGGUAGCUAAAUGCGGAAGAGAUAAGUGCUGAAAGCAUCUAAGCACGAAACUUGCCCCGAGAUGAGUUCUCCCUGACUCCUUGA